GACGACGCUGGCGGCACGCCUAACACAUGCAAGUCGAACGGAGAACCUUCGGGUUCUUAGUGGCGGACGGGUGAGUAACGCGUGGGUAACCUGCCUCACACUGGGGGAUAACAGUUAGAAAUGACUGCUAAUACCGCAUAAGUGCACAGGACCGCAUGGUCUGGUGUAAAAAAACUCCGGUGGUGUGAGAUGGACCCGCGUCUGAUUAGCUAGUUGGUGGGGUAACGGCCUACCAAGGCGACGAUCAGUAGCCGGCCUGAGAGGGUGAACGGCCACAUUGGGACUGAGACACGGCCCAAACUCCUACGGGAGGCAGCAGUGGGGAAUAUUGCACAAUGGGGGAAACCCUGAUGCAGCAAUGCCGCGUGAGUGAAGAAGUAUUUCGGUAUGUAAAGCUCUAUCAGCAGGGAAGAAAAUGACGGUACCUGACUAAGAAGCUCCGGCUAAAUACGUG
rnacentral:rRNA from 1 species